rnacentral:lncRNA from 10 species
CGCAAAUCUAAACAGAUACUGUCCCUCCCAGGGCAGGACUCAAGAGCGGGAGCCACGACUCCAUGUGCCCAAACAUGGGGAUGGGCAGCCACCGGGCCCCUCUGUCUCGCGAAGUUUCUCAGGACCCUGGGCUUUGCCACGGUCUCAGUCCUUCUCAACGUCUCCCUCCCUUAAUGCGCCUUCUUUCUUUUUCCUGUCCCUUCAAGAAUUAGAGUGGUCCUUUAAUUCUUUUUGUUUCCUCUCUUUUCGAUUUCCUUCUUUUGUGUCCAUCCUUCCUGCUUUCCUUCUUCCUCUCCCUCUUUUUAAAAUUGCAUUACUGUCAUACCUGGUUUCCCUGCAGUUCUUGGGUGGAGUUCGAGGACCCUCCCUGGUGGAAGGCGUUUGUGUUCUACCAAAAGAGGAGCCCUUCUGACCGAGGCUUCAGAGCUCAGCGUGGCGCCGACGGGACCACCUUUCCCUUCUCACCUCUUUUCCUCUCCACCUUCCAGGAAACCACUAUCUAUCCAUCUAUCCAUCUAUCUUCUGUAUACGAGUAGAAGGAGGAGGAGGAGGAGGAAAAUCAGGAAUCCACGCAAAGUUUUCCAAGCUCCCUGAAGUGGUUGGGCACAUCAGUAGCUGAGAGACUCCUCUGACCAUGGCCAGCCUCAGGAAGUGAGUGUCAACAGCCUUGCAGAUGGGAACUCAACUCCUGGGUACCCAUGCCUGAAAAGACAAUUUCGCUCUUGAUGCCCAGGCUGGAGUGUAAUGGCAUGAUCUCAGCUCACUGCAACCUCCGCCUCCCAGAUUCAAGCAAUUCUUCUGCCUCAGCCUCCCAAGCUGGGAUUACAGGCAUGUGUCACCAUGCACCUCUUGCACCCGGUCUCCUUCUCAGAGUCUGAUGCCCAGGAAAUCUGAUCUGUGGCAGUGUGGGGAUUCAUCCAAGAAUGAAGACUGUUUGUAAAUUGAGAUUUGAGGGUGGAAUCAUCCACUGGCCAGCCAGCUGUGAGGACCAGCCGCUGGUGGUUGGGGGUGCACAAAUGGCCUCAGGCCCGCUGUACUGCUGCAACUAUUAAAACUCCACCAUGGUGUACAUGGAAGGAUGGCUGGUAGAAUAGGACUUACUGGCAAGUAGUGUAUCAGGCAUUUGAGAGAUACAGGGCAAUAGUCAUUAUAAAGACAAUAGAACUAGAUAGUUGUUGUUAGGAAAUAAUCUAUUCUUUGGGGCAAGACCGUAAAAGGCUGAGGGUAAUUAAUCACCUCUUACAGGCUAAGUCAGAAUUCCAGAGGACAUCCUCAGAAGCAUAAAAAGAUACCCUCAUCUCCUAUCAUUGGAGUGCAGAAAAACCUGAGGAAUGAAUUUAGGAUUUAAUUAUGGAAGCACAGAGUUUCAGAGAAGGUUGAGUUCUGAGUUCCACAGACCAGCUCUGCCAAGGUCAGAGCCCUAAUUAUGAAGGAAUGGAACUGCAAUACAUGGGAUGUGGACAACUGAUGUAGGAUUUUUUCUUCUUGGUCACUUUGCAAGCCUGGGACCUCCAGCCAGUGAUGUCCGCCCAGGGCUUGCUUGGCUAUGCUGGUGUGCCUCAGCUUGUCUGUGUUAUAGCUUGUACCCACAUUUGGUGAUUCUCAAGCUCUUGUACCACACCCAAGAAGAUUGAGGAUAUGCUGCACAUUGAAGGGUGAGGAGGGCAGAGAAGAAUUUUACUGAGCGACCGAACAGCUCUCAGUGGAGAGGGGACACAGGGGAUGGUCCCUCACCCCCACAGUCAGGUGGUUCUCUCCUCCUUGCGUAGGGGCCUGGAGGAGGUCACACCCACGAGCCAGAGCUGACGUUCUUUUUUAGAGACAAAACUUUGCCUCCUUAACCAAUUGCAAAUGAGAAAAUCUUUGAGUCUGCCACCAACCUAUGGGCUCCUGCUUUGAGAUAGCCCACUUUUUUAGGUCAAACCAAUGUAUAGCCUCCGUGUUUUGCUUUAUGACUUUGCCUGUAACCUCUGCCUCUUCACCUUUAGAAACUGUUACCCGUAAGUCAUCUGGGAGUUCCGGUCUUAAGCAUGAGCUGCCCGAUUCUUCUUGCUUGGUGCCCUGCAAUAAAUGCCUCACUUUCUCUUGAUGCUAUGCCAAUGUCAGCAUGUGGCUUUGCUGCCCCAGGCAAGUGGACCCCAGUUCAGUUUGAUAACAAAGAUAAGUAAAUCAAAACCAAUAUCAUAUCCUGGGGGAAAACAGCAGCUGAAAACAUCUGCCUCCUCCGUGGUCAUGUUCCCACAUCCAGUGGCAGGCCAAUCCUUGAGGAUCAGGACAAUUCUGAAAGGCCAUCCUUCAUCUGGAGUCUUCCAUGAGAUUGACUGAGACCACUGGUGCGACCGUGUCACACCCCAAUUCCCCUUCUGCCCAGUCUGGCUUUCUCCACCCCCGACAGGUGUUGAUUCCCAAGAGUCUCUCCCAAUAACCUUAUUGCAUGUGAAUAUAUAUUUUAGAAUCUGCUUCCUGGGAAAUCUGACAGGACAGAAUGAAUCCACAACAUUCACUACCAGAAGAUGCUCUGCCUUUGAACUGGCCUGCCCAUGGGCUUUUCCCUGGACCUUGGGAGCACCUCUAAUCAAAAGUUAAUACCCAGAGCCUCAGAGGUUUCACUGAAACACUGCCCAGGAAGGAGUCACUGAAAAUCCUAUGAGGAAGGGAAGUGGGGGAACCUGGGAGGAAGGAAACUACACAAUCUGAAAGAUGUAUAAAUACAAAGUUUCCAUAAGUUUGGGGCUUGAAUCAUAUACCUGAGAGAGAGAGAUUUCUAGGAAUGAAAAGAAGCAAGCCACAGCCUUUCAUCAACUACCUAAGCCAAGCAGUGGGCAGAUCUACCAGCUGGCCAGGCAGGGGGUGCUGAAUGGCUGUCAGUCUUGUGGACAGGACGUCCCAACUAUUCUGACCUGUCACCGCUAUUUUGGGCACAGAAGGGAGGACCGUGGGGUCGUCAGCCUCAAGGCAUUUAGUCUUCUAUUCCUUUUCUCUUCCUUUCCAGUUCUUUGAAAUGAGAAUCAGGGUUUAUGUCCAGUCCCAGAGUGACACCUUAGACACCUUAAUUACACCACUUUGUUCUCUCUCUCUCUCUCUUUCUUUUUUUUUUUUUUUUGAGAUGGAAUUUUGCUCUUGUUGCCCAGGCUGGAGUGCAAUGGUGCAAUCUCGGCUCACCGCAACCUCCCCCUCCUGGGUUAAAG